AACCAACUCCAAUUCAUUUAUAGUGUCGAAGAUGAAGAAACUUUUUCAAGUCUUCUUAACCGUACUAACUAUCUACAUCCUUCUUGUGCAAGUAAUAGGAGCGUCACCAAAUGACACAACAUAUUCAAAUAAAAUAUUGACAUGCUCUCUCGAAAAAUGUAAUGCUAUGUGUAUCAAAACGUGGAAAGGAUCAGUCGGUCUUUGCGAGAAAGUAAGCGCAAAAGGAGACAUGAAGUGCUACUGCAUAUAUAAGACCAAUGCCUGAGAAAUAUGUUAUAUAGGAAUAACUGUGGUCUCAUGGACUUAAUGAGUACACCUACCUUUAUCAUUGUCGUUAAAUUUAUUAUUAUUCAAAAUAAAACUCAAAAUAGUAAUGCAUUAUAAUAAAAAGAUCCAUGCUGAUGCUA